rnacentral:rRNA from 1 species
GACGAACGCUGGCGGCGUGCCUAAUACAUGCAAGUCGAGCGAAGCGGCGGAUGGGUGAUUAACGCGUGGGUAACCUGCCCUUAAGUCUUGGAUACCAUUUGGAAACAGAUGCUAAUACCGGCUACUAAAGGAUGGACUUGCGUUGCAUUAGCUAGUUGGUAAGGUAACGGCUUACCAAGGCGAUGCUGCAUAGGCGAGAUGAGAGACUGCUCGGCCACAUGGGGACUGAGACACGGCCCAAACCCCUACGGGAGGCAGCAGUAGGGAAUCUUCCACAAUGGACGAAAGUCUGAUGGAGCAACGCCGCGUGAGUGAAGAAGGUUUGCGGAUCGUAAAGCUCUGUUGUUGGUGAAGCGGUAAUCAACCAGAAAGUCACGGCUAACUACGUGCCAGCAGCCGCGGUAAUUC